rnacentral:tRNA from 1 species
ACUAUUUUGACAGAAUAAUGUAAUAAAUUUAGAAUUUAUUUAUGUAUAUUAAAUUAAUAUACAAUUAGUA